rnacentral:rRNA from 1 species
CUCAGGAUGAACGCUGGCGGCGUGCUUAACACAUGCAAGUCGAACGAGAAAGCUCCUUCGGGAGUGAGUACAGUGGCGAACGGGUGCGUAACACGUUGGUGACCUGCCUUGAGGAGGGGGACAACCGUGGGAAACCACGGCUAAUACCCCGGAUGUCUAAACUGUUAGAGGGUUUAGACUAAAACUUCGGUGCCUCAAGAGGGGCCUGCGGGCUAUCAGCUUGUUGGUGGGGUAAUGGCCUACCAAGGCUAAGACGGCUAGGGGGCGUGAGAGCGCGACCCCCCACAAUGGAACUGAGACACGGUCCAUACUCCUACGGGAGGCAGCAGUGAGGAAUAUUGCGCAAUGGGGGAAACCCUGACGCAGCAACGCCGCGUGAACGAUGAAGGCCUUCGGGUCGUAAAGUUCUUUUCUAAGGGAAGAUAGUGACGGUACCUUAGGAAUAAGUCCCGGCUAACUACGUGCCAGCAGCCGCGGUAAAACGUAGGGGGCGAGCGUUAUCCGGAUUUAUUGGGCGUAAAGCGCACGUAGGUGGCGCUGUAAGUUAGACGUGAAAGCUCUCGGCUCAACUGAGAGAGGUCGUUUAAAACUGCAGUGCUUGAGGUUAGAAGAGGAGAGCAGAAUUCCCGGUGUAGUGGUGGAAUGCGUAGAUAUCGGGAGGAAUACCAGUGGCGAAGGCGGCUCUCUAGUCUACACCUGACACUGAGGUGCGAAAGCGUGGGUAGCGAACCGGGAUUAGAUACCCCGGUAGUCCACGCUGUAAACGAUGGAUACUAGGUGUAGGGGGUCAUUUAACCCCUCUGUGCCGAAGCAAACGCGUUAAGUAUCCCGCCCUGGGGACUACGGCCGCAAGGUUAAAACUCAAAGGAAUU